GAUGAACGCUAGCUACAGGCUUAACACAUGCAAGUCGCGGGGCAGCAUGGGGGUUGCUUGCAAUCCCCGAUGGCGACCGGCGCACGGGUGAGUAACGCGUAUCCAACCUGCCCUUCACCACGGGAUAACCCGGCGAAAGUCGGACUAAUACCGUAUGUUGUCCAUUGACGGCAUCCGAUUUGGACGAAAGGUUUGGCAGUGAAGGAUGGGGAUGCGUCCGAUUAGCUGGACGGCGGGGUGACGGCCCACCGUGGCGACGAUCGGUAGGGGUUCUGAGAGGAAGGUCCCCCACACUGGAACUGAGACACGGUCCAGACUCCUACGGGAGGCAGCAGUGAGGAAUAUUGGUCAAUGGGCGUAAGCCUGAACCAGCCAAGUAGCGUGCAGGAUGACGGCCCUAUGGGUUGUAAACUGCUUUUAUGCGGGGAUAAAGUGGCCCACGUGUGGGUUUUUGCAGGUACCGCAUGAAUAAGGACCGGCUAAUUCCGUG
rnacentral:rRNA from 1 species